UUUCACUCCUCCCGCCCACGCGCCGAAAAGGGCAGCAAACAAGGCCUCCGCCGUCGACAUUAUCCGGAUCAUGAAGAUGGCGAUUCCCCGCCAACGCCAAGGAGGCUAAGGAAACGAUGCAGAGCUGCAUCUUCGUGUUAACAGGCUUCUUUACCAGCGAGUGAGUUCGGAUAACUUUCCGUGCCCGAUCCUGCUCCUAUCGAUUAUUUUGGGUUUCCUUCGAUGUUAAUGAUCGACGGUGCAAGGCGAGCGGUAGAUUCUAGAAGGAGAAGAGGAAGACGAUUAAUGGAUUCACCUGCAGGAAUACAGAGUACUACUUCGUUUUGGUACCCCUUCUUAUUCCAGCUGUUAAGAGGUUUAAUUGUUUUGAUUGUUGCAAAUCGUUAUUCGUUUGAUGGAUGGGAUAUUUUGCCUCCUUGUUGUUACGGCACAUUUAUUUGAUAAUGGCCGUGAUUAGGUUUUCCAAAAACUUCUCUUCAACGAGAAGUGAAUCCUCAGACGUUUACUGGCUUCGCAUGAACCGUUUAAAGUUCCGGAAACUCCAAGUUAAAGUUCUGAAUUAGAAGCUCACUAAAUCAAGAUAUGAGCGCUGAUUGAUGAGAACGGGAGCUCAUAUCCUGAGUGGGAAGAUUUGCUGCCUCUAUGCUGCCACUAAACAGGCUGGUAAGUUUGAAUUUUGGUUAG